rnacentral:piRNA from 1 species
UUAGUAACUUGAGGACCCUGAU